rnacentral:rRNA from 1 species
ACGCUGGCGGCGUGCCUAAUACAUGCAAGUAGAACGCUGAAGCUUGGUGCUUGCACCGAGCGGAUGAGUUGCGAACGGGUGAGUAACGCGUAGGUAACCUGCCUCUUAGCGGGGGAUAACUAUUGGAAACGAUAGCUAAUACCGCAUAACAGUCGACAUUGCAUGAUGUUGAUUUGAAAGGUGCAAUUGCAUCACUAAGAGAUGGACCUGCGUUGUAUUAGCUAGUUGGUGAGGUAACGGCUCACCAAGGCGACGAUACAUAGCCGACCUGAGAGGGUGAUCGGCCACACUGGGACUGAGACACGGCCCAGACUCCUACGGGAGGCAGCAGUAGGGAAUCUUCGGCAAUGGGGGCAACCCUGACCGAGCAACGCCGGGUGAGUGAAGAAUGUUUUCGGAUCGUAAAGCUCUGUUGUAAGAGAAGAACGAGUGUGAGAGUGGAAAGUUCACACUGUGACGGUAACUUACCAGAAAGGGACGGCUAACUACGUGCCAGCAGCCGCGGUAAUACGUAGGUCCCGAGCGUUAUCCGGAUUUAUUGGGCGUAAAGCGAGCGCAGGCGGUUAGAUAAGUCUGAAGUUAAAGGCUGUGGCUUAACCAUAGUACGCUUUGGAAACUGUUUAACUUGAGUGCAGAAGGGGAGAGUGGAAUUCCAUGUGUAGCGGUGAAAUGCGUAGAUAUAUGGAGGAACACCGGUGGCGAAAGCGGCUCUCUGGUCUGUAACUGACGCUGAGGCUCGAAAGCGUGGGGAGCAAACAGGAUUAGAUACCCUGGUAGUCCACGCCGUAAACGAUGAGUGCUAGGUGUUGGGUCCUUUCCGGGACUCAGUGCCGCAGCUAACGCAUUAAGCACUCCGCCUGGGGAGUACGACCGCAAGGUUGAAACUCAAAGGAAUUGACGGGGGCCCGCAC